rnacentral:lncRNA from 1 species
CUUUAGUGUUCCAUGGCUGAGUCCGAGUGCACUGCAAGCAAUGCCUAUUUUUUUUUUUUUUUCACAGAUUCAUCAUUUGUUGGCAGCCCUUGGUGGGAAGAGGAUGGCUUGGGCUCUGAGAGUCAAAGAAGUGGAGAUGGGGCCUGUGCUUCUCCUUGUCCUGCUCCUGCUUCUCCAGCACCAGGGACCAGUCUUCCUCCUUCACCAGCUGGACACUCACCAGAUGCUGGGUUCAUCAUUUGUUGGCAGCCCUUGGUGGGAAGAGGAUGGCUUGGGCUGUGAGAGGCAAAGAAGUGGAGAUGGGGCCUGUGGAUCUGGACCCUGCAGAUGUGACAAGGUGGCAGUGAGGACUACAGGCUGAAGGACUGGGACUCAGCACACAGAAAUAGAAAACAAGAGAAAGAACCAAACUCUUUUGGAUUUGGGUAAGUAUUAUUUUUUAUGAUUUCUGUUUCAAUGAUAUAAAAUGGUUUCCAAUUG